CUAGAUGGAUGACUCGGUUCGAAACGCCGAUGAAGGACGUGACAAGCUACGAUAUGCUUUGGCGAGUUGAACGUAAACUUUGAACCAAGGAUCUCCGAAUGAGACUUCUCCAUAGAGACCUUUUAGGUCAGGGAACGCAGGGAAUUGAAGCGUCUUAGUACCUGCAGGAAAAGAAAUCAAUUGAGAUGCCGUUAGUAACAGCGAGCGAACGCGGCACAGUUUAAACUGAAUCCGUUGUAGUAAUACAAUGGAGAUGUGGUGUUGUGGACUUCCUUUUCCACCUUUUUUCGACUUGAAGUUUGCUGGAAAGCAGCACGAUACAGGGUGAUAGUCCCGUAAAGGUAGAAAUGAAGGCCUUGGAAGUAUCCCAAGUACUGCCUCUUGAUAUUGGGGUGGGAAGCUAGGGGGCAUUAACCUCUAAAACUAAACACGUUUCGAAUCCGAUAGCAAACGAGUACCGUGAGGGAAAGUUGAAAAGAACCCUUAACAGGGAGUUAAAAGCAUCUGAAAUCUAGCAGUCUUAGUAUGUUAGGGCUGUACGCAGUUCUAACGUGCUUUUCGAAUAAAGCGCCAGGGAGUAUACUCAAGUGGCGAGGAUAACCUGAAUAAGGGUAUCCAUAGGGAAACCAAAACCCCGCAGGUAACGAGGGGGAAGGUGUGAAAGUGCCUCAAGUCACAUGAGUAUGACCUGAAACCAGUCGAUCUACUCCUGAGUAAGGUGAAACGGGGGUAAUACUCCGUGGAGGCCUGCAGAGGUUCUACGUGCAAGUGUUCUUCUAACUUGGGAGUAGGGGUGAAAAGCCAAUCGAGACUGGCGAUAUCAGGUUCCUGUCGAAAUAGACCUUAGUCUAGUUUCCGCCGAGAUAGUUGUGGUUGUAGAGCGACGGAUAACGGGAAGUGGCGGGGAAACCUGUCAGCCUGUUGUCCAACUCCAAAUGCCAUAACAUCGUAGACGUGGGAAAACAGGGAAUGUUGGGGUAAACUUCAUUUCCGUGAGGGGAACAACCCAGACUAUAGUUAAGGCCCCUAAAUAUCGGUUAAGUGAGAAAGGGUAAAAGGUGUUCACGAUCUUAGACAGCGAGGAGGUUGGCUUAGAAGCAGCCACCCUUUAAAAAGUGCGUAACAGCUUACUCGUUGAGGUCGUGAGUCCUGAAGAUUGACGGGUCUAAACCGAUUGCCGAUACUAUAGAUCGCGAAAAGCGAGGGUAGACAGGCGUCCUUUUAGGGUAGAAGCAUCUUCAUAAGAGGGUGUGGACCUAAAUGGAAUGAAUAUCCUGGUGGUAGUAAGAUCAAAGCAGAGUGAGAAUCUCUGUCAUCGUAAGGGCAAGGGUUCCUUGGCAAUGUCUAUCAGCCAAGGGUUAGUCGGUCCUAACCUGAUUCGUAAGAGAAUAAAGGGAAAGGGAAAACGGUUAAUAUUCCGUUACUACUUUAGUAUACGUGGCGACACAAGUCUUGUUUCUGACACUUUGGAAUAUGCCGACACAUCUUGUCUGAUGUGUUAAUAAAGAUAAAUCACAGGAGUAUCAUAAUGAUGAGAAUGUGAUUAAACUUUAGAUGAGCAGGCCUAUGGUUUGUUUGGUUGAUUUCUGGAGUCCAUGAAAAAGGAACAAGAAUAAAUCUAAAGUAUCCGUACCCAGAACCAGCACUGGUGCCCCUAGGUUAGAAGCCUAAGAUGUGAGAGUGUAAACUAGUUCAGGGAAUUCGGCAUAUUAGUCCCGUACCUUCGGUAUAAGGGAUCCCUGUAAUUGUAUUCGCAUGAGUGCGAUUUCAGGGCACAGUGACAAAGAUGAUCCGACUGUUUAACAAAAACUUAACAUUCUGCUACGUGGUAACGCUGUGUAUAGAAUGUGAUAUCUGCCCAGUGCCAGUACUUUAAGCCUCGUUCCAACGGGGUGAAGAGCUGGUAAACGGCGGGAGUAACUAUAACUCUCUUAAGGUGAACUCGUUGCCUUAAGUCCCUAGUAAGUUAAACAGACCAUUCAAAAAAUAGGGAUAAAAAUUUGGCCAUAUGCUGGAACAUCUCAAUAAAUUUCUUGUAGGCAUUUACACAAGUGAUUUUGUAACGACCCCCUAAAAAUCAAGAAAGAAGAGACAAUCAGCAGGAAAGAUUUCUCGUCAGAGAAAAAUCCUCAGAGACUGAAUGCCAAACUAAAUAAUAAAAAGUUUAGAAGAUACAGUCCGAACCAUAUAGCGAUAUAUGGAGAUUACAUGAAAAUUCAAAAGAAUUUUCUGUACAGAAAAAGUUGUUUAGAUUUUUUCGUGUAAUAGAAAUAUUAAUCCGCUUCUUGAAAGAAGUUGUAACAGAUUGAGCGAAAUGCCUUGUCGUUUGAAUGACGACCUGCAUGAAUGGUAUAACGAGAUCGUCACUGUCCCGAGCUAGUGUCUCCCGAACACUAUUUCCUGGUGCAAAGUCCAGGGAUUUCCAGUGGGAAGCGAAGACCCCGUGAAACUUUACUGUAACCUGUCGUUGUAGUGUGACUUUUGAUAUAUAGCGUAAGUGGGAGCUGUUUGAGGCCAUGAGCGUCAGCCUGUGGUUGAGGCGAUAAUGUAACACCACUUAUCGAAAAUUACAUUACUUACCUCGCAAGAGGGACACCGAUUGGUGGACAGUUUGGCUGGGGCGGCACGCUGUUGAAAGGAUAUCAAUAGCGCCCAAUGGUUGACUCAUCCGGUUUAGAAAUCCGGAGUUGAGUGCAAGGGCAAAAGUCAGCCUGAUUGGAUUUUAAACAUAACAAACUUCAAACACGAAAGUGUGGCCUAGCGAACCUCUGUACCUUCUUAAUGAGGGUCAGAGAUGACUGAAAAGUUACUCCGGGGAUAAUUGAGUCGUCGCGCCCGAGAGUUCAUAUCGACGGCGCGGUUUGCUACUUCGAUGUCGGCUCUUCCUAUCCUGGCGGUGCAGAAGCCGCCAAGGGUGGGGGUGUUCACCCGUUAAAAGGGAUCGUGAGCUGGGUUCAUUACGCUGUGAGGCAGUAAGUUUGAUAUCUACUGGGAAUGUUGGGUGUCUGAAAGGAAGGAUCUUUUAGUACGAGAGGAACGAAGGUUCGUAGCCACUGGUAGACCGGUUAUCUGACAAGGUAAGCCGGGCAGCUACGCUAUAAGCGAUAAAUGCUGAACGCAUCUAAGCAUGAAGCGUGCCUUAAAAAUAGACACCUUAGAGCACGGCAAGAACAGCCGUUUGAUAG
rnacentral:rRNA from 1 species